UACGGAGGGUGCAAGCGUUAUCCGGAUUUACUGGGUUUAAAGGGUGCGUAGGUGGGUCUGUAAGUCAGUGGUGAAAUCUCCGAGCUUAACUCGGAAACUGCCAUUGAUACUAUAGAUCUUGAAUUAUCUGGAGGUGAGCGGAAUAUGUCAUGUAGCGGUGAAAUGCUUAGAUAUGACAUAGAACACCAAUUGCGAAGGCAGCUCACUACGGAUUGAUUGACACUGAGGCACGAAGCGUGGGGAUCAAACAGG
rnacentral:rRNA from 1 species